GCCACAGACCUGCGGCCUCAGCAGUCCUCGCGGGAGGCUUGGGAUGAGCAAGGAAGCACGCCGGGCACCCGGGCCUUGGGGACGCGCCGCACCGCGGGAGAGAGCGAGGGCAUCAGGUAUACAUGAGGUGCACAUACUUGCAGGAAGAGCACUCAGAAGAUAUAAGGUGGACUGUUGAGAUGGCUAAGCAGGUGGCUGGAACUUCCUCAAGACAUAAGCACUGGACCUGAGGCUCCUACGGUAGAGCGAGUGCAGUGAAGAGCAGAGCCAGUCAUAUCCCAGUGG